UCCGUAGGCGGCCGUGUGUGUCGGGUGUGAAAUCCUGCAGCUUAACUGUAGAAUUGCGCUCGAAACUACACGGCUAGAGUAUUGGAGAGGUGAGUGGAAUUCCAGGUGUAGCGGUGAAAUGCGUAGAUAUCUGGAGGAACACCAACGGCGAAGGCAGCUCACUGGACAAUUACUGACGCUGAGGGACGAAAGUGUGGGGAGCGAAAG
rnacentral:rRNA from 1 species